CAGGGUAUGAAUCUGUUUCACAGCAGCUUGUCCAUACAGUAACAUCUCAUGUGGACACUGCUAUGCUGUGGACAGUGCAAGUUCUAGAGUGUAGUGGGCUUACUAUUCUUUUAAGUAGCCACAUUCUAGAGCUGUGAGUACACAAUAGCAGUAUCCACAUGAGACAAUGCUGUAUGGCAGACUGAUGGGCUGUAGAUUCACUCCUUGGCUUGCUGCACAAUAACUUACAAGCCCUGUAAAUGGUGUUGCAACUAUGUUGGUCCCAGCAUUUUGAAGAAACAUGAUACUGCAAAAAGGAAAAUUUACAGCUAAUAUCAGGGUGGACUGAUUUAAAAUCACCAGUUGGAAUCACAAUCUGAAUCAGUAAGCAAAUCAUCUUGAUUUAAGAUGCCCUAGCAGCCUAAGCAUGGAACCCAUCAUGGAUCCUGUUGAGCAUCAAAGCAUGAUGAUGAUGUUAAUCUUGGUGCGCCUAGUGCUGGAGUAUGUCCAGAGCGUAUCCAAGGUCCGCCAGAACGAGGAAGAUUCUCAGGAGUCCAUGAAAACACACUUCAGCAAAGCACUUGAGCAAAUUGCAAGAUACAGUGGAAGUCUGUUCUAGUGCCAUCAGACAAGAUCAGAUUAGUAGGACCGCAUAGUUAUGCAACUAUGGGACUAUCAGCAGUGGCUUCAAAACUUUUGCAUGCAUAAGGCCACUUUCAUGGAAGUUUGCAAAUUGCUUUCCUCUGCCCUGAAGUACAAGAAUACCAGAAUGAGACCCACUCUGACAGUGGACAAGUGAGUGGCAAUUGUCCCAUGGAAGCUUGCAACGCCAGACAGCCACAGGUUUGCAGUUCUGUGAGAACAGAUUUCUCUCCUCACACAGCAGUGAAGUCCAGGAUCUCUUCCAUGCUUCAUGUUGGUGUUCAUCUGUGACCCUGGGAGCUCGUAGAGCUCAUGUGACUUGAACUCAUGGUCACGCGUGCUGCUCAGUAGCACCAGCAGGCUCCAAUCAGAGAUCAUCACUCCAUAAUGCUAGCCACUGUGAAGAACACUUAAACAGUCAGUACCUGUUCCAACAAGCUUACAAAGUAGUCUACAAAAGAACAUAACUGGUGGACGAAUUGGACUAAUGAAGGGUGAAGAGAUCUAUUUUUAAGAAGAAUAGUGACCAUGAGGAAGUCUACCUGUUAGUCCAUUUUUACUAAUUCUGCUGAAGAAAAUGAAGCUACACUUUGGCUGUACAGAAUCCUUUACCGUCACUGUUGGGUAAAUCAGAAAUGGUUGUAUGAUUAUGCUGACAUCCCAGCAUGCAUUUGGUAGACCUGUGGUUAACUCGUUCCCUCUCCAUGUGUCUGCUCUUACAAAGUUUUGUCCUCAUGAUACUGUGCUUUCAUUCUGCCAGUAUGUGCCCAAAAGGCUGCCUUUGUUCUCAUUCUGGAGGUUUAAAUGUCAGUUGUAGCAAUGCCAAUCUCAAGGAAAUACCCAGAGAUCUUCCUCCUGAAACAGUCUUACUUUAUUUGGACUCUAAUCAGAUAACAUCCAUCCCAAAUGAAAUUUUUAAGGACUUACAUCAACUGAGAGUCCUCAAUUUAUCCAAAAACGGUAUUGAAUUUAUAGAUGAACAUGCCUUUAAAGGAGUGGCAGAAACCUUACAGACUUUGGACUUGUCUGACAACCGUAUUCAAAGUGUGCACAAAAAUGCUUUCAAUAACUUAAAGGCCAGAGCCAGAAUUGCAAACAAUCCUUGGCACUGUGACUGUACUCUGCAGCAGGUCCUGAGGAGUAUGGCUUCCAACCAUGAAACAGCCAACAACGUCAUCUGUAAGACUUCUGUGUUAGAUGAACAUGCUGGGAGACCAUUCCUCAAUGCUGCCAAUGAUGCAGACCUUUGUAACCUUCCUAAAAAGACUACUGAUUAUGCCAUGCUAGUUACCAUGUUUGGCUGGUUCACCAUGGUGAUAUCCUAUGUGGUUUAUUAUGUGCGGCAAAAUCAAGAGGAUGCAAGAAGGCACCUUGAGUACUUGAAAUCCCUGCCAAGCAGGCAAAAGAAACCAGAAGAAGCUGAUGACAUUAGCACUGUGAAAGGGAGUGCAGGUGGGGAGAGCAGGUAGGCAGUCAGUCCCAUGGGCCACGGAAACUGAAGAUAUGAUGGAGCUCUGACUAGCACUUCAGCUAAGCUAAGGAACGGCAGCCGUGAGGAAGCCUGCACUUCAGGAUACCACAGCCAAUUGGACAAAUAUGUAAGUACUAAUGGUACAUGGGAAUCAUAGUGUCAAACCAACCCUAAAGGAUUGAUAAAAUGAAUUUAAAUGUAAGCAGGAAUACAACCACCAAAACCAUGUGUUUAUAAGCCUGAGACAGCUGCUAUCUCUAUUUUCAUACUCAUUGAGCAUUGCUGCUGUUUUCACAGGUAUUCUAGGUGUUUUGCCAAGUGAAAAAAGACAAGAAAGCCUACAGUUAAAGGGUUCAGCUAUGGUUUUGUCAUAAACCCUGAAAAAUGGACAGUAGGAGCAAUUCAUGAGCCAGAUGGUGUUGGCUUGAAACCUAAAGAAGAGGACCCAGCAUGCAGCACAUACAGAAGUCUAUGAAAGGACAUAUGCAACCUACCCCAAGGAUUUGGAGAAGUGUUUCCUACUAGCAGACCUGAUGGAGCUGCUCCUAGUGAACAUUUAACAGUGGUUCCUUUUUGUUUAAUUGCAUUGGUUUACCAAAUUAAAUCCUUAGCUGUUCUACCCUCUUAUUCAAUUGUGUGUGCUCUAACAGUGCAACUUGUUUUAUAAUCAUGAGACUUAGAACCAAACAGCCUCAAAAUGUGGAUUAGUAUGUGUACAAAUGAAGCAGAAGGGGGUGGCAGUAACCUAGUAGGAUCCAGGAUAGAGGUUUGUCAGGAAGGGAAAGCUGGGUAUACUAAUUACUAAAGUCUGAAACUCCUGUAGUGAUUUAAGUGGUUCUAGAUAUUCCAGUCUAACUCUGUUUUGCUCUCUCUAAUUAAUGAUCCAAUAUUGAAAUGUGUUCUGUAGGUGGAAGUGAUGGCACAGAAAUUAAGCCCUUACUUACAUUCCCGGAAUAUACAGAUACUUAUUUGCUAAGUUAAGUUUUGCAUGUCAUGCCUCUGCUUCAGUCUGCCAAGCUAUUCCACCCCCACGAUGUAAUAGCUUCACCUACCAGGAGGCAGCAGACUUGUCUUGACUGCCUGUUCAAUAUAGGGGUAAUCUGCCUCUAAAGCCAAAUCCAUCAUUCUUAUCUUGGCUACUAAAUAUCUGUCACUUGCAGAUUUGUUUUUGUCAUGACAACAGGGGCCUUCCAAGCUAAGCAUAUUUGCAAAAGUUAAUGUGAAGACUCACCAACACAUUUGAUCCAGGGUACAGAAGUUUGUUCUUUACCCUAAAGGAAAAAAAAAUCUUUGUAAUCUGGAACAAGCUUGUGUGGAAUGUCCACACUAGCUGUUACAAAUCUAUUAGCUACCUCUCGUAAAUUGCCCAUUAGUUAACACUAGAGAAUGAGAGUAUGUCUUCAACAGACUGUUCUGUCACUCCUCUUAGUGUGUCAGGACACUUCUUAGCAACAUAUCAUAGACCUUCAUAGGUGCUCUUAAGUUUUGUCUUCACUGUAAAUAAAUAUAUAUAUAUCUUUAACUGGUUUUAGCCAUGGAUAGCUAACACACCGUUGACUGUCCUGCUGCAAAAUCCUAGUGGAGGCAAGGCAUGUGUAGUUAUUGUGAAGUAGCUACACAAGGUCAGUACUGUCCAUGAUUGACCUUGUCUAGUUUUCUGACAGUAGAAGUUCAGGACCAGAACCUCGUAGUUAUGUAGACUGCUAACUCUCAUUGUUUUCACACUGGGUUUUUUUUUUUUUUGCAUGAUGACACAGCCCUGUCAGAGAUAGUGGCUAGCCAUACCUGAGAUGCUUAUUGUCAAGGAGAUAAAUAUCUCUCACAAGUGAGUACAGGAGUGCCAGAAAAUAUAAUGGAGGACAAACCAAAAAUUAAUUUUAUUAAAACAAUCUCUUCCAGGAACUCGUUUCACUUGAGCUUAAAUAACAUGGAUGUGAAGUCUUGUUGUUACCAUAUAUAUGACAUAAACAAUGAACGAGAUUCCUGGUAAAAUGAGAGGCAAAGCAGAUUCAAAAGAAUUGUUUGCUUAAUCUUUAGAAAGGUGUAUUUAUUUUAAAAGGUAUCUGCAAAGAAAAAUAAUAGGUUCAUGCCUUCCUUCUCCCCUCUUUUUUUUUCUUCCUUUUUGAUCUAUAAAUAAUGCUUGGAAACGUGUUUGAAAAAAGUUUGUGGGGUUUUUUGUCUUUUUCACUAGAAAUUCAGAACCCAUCUAAACAGUAGUCUCCUGCCAUGGCAGAAAAUGUAGUGAAAUUAUGUAAACCAAAUAAGUGAAUGUUCAGUGAUUAAGAGGCAAAGGGAUUUUUAGGCAGACUCUUUUAAAUUUAGCUGCUAACAAACCAGCCCCAAUUUUCCUUCAAUUAUUAUUUGAUAUAUUUGGUAAAGGAGCUCUAUGCUAAAGAGUCAACACCUUUUCUUCUUCAGGUAAGAGGUAAAAAUAAUCAUCCUAGUACUUCUUGCUAUUUUUCAGCAAAAGCAGGAAAAAACAAACUGAUAAUUCUAAAUGAAAACCCUCAGGAAUUUCUUUUUAAAAAUCACUGGCUUUAUACAUCCAUUUAUAGAGGGAACGGACACAAUUCCCACUUUUAAAGAAAUUCUUUGCAGGUCACCUUUAAGGGAAGGAAUGUUCUGCAUAAAAGAUUUUUCUAUUGAACAUGUGCUUGCUUGAGUCCUAGGUAUUUCAUUCCAAGUUGAUCUGAAUUCCAGCUCUAAGUCUGCAUUAGGACCAGAUUUACAAUACCCCAAUCAAACCUUGAUUGGCGUAUUGUAAAUCUGGUUCUAAUACAGAGAUUUACAGAUGGAUUACUGAGAUCAGCUUGAAAUGGUUGAGAUUUAAAAGCCAGGGCUAGAGAACUACAGAUCAUCUAAGUUAAAUCUUCAAGAUAAUUUAGAAAUAAAUAUUCAAAGCAGGCAGAUGUGCAGUAAUCAAGAGAUUUAAAUUAAAAAGAAACUGUUAGUUUUCACACUGCAUCAUGUUUUAGGUAUUUUCAAAUUAUUUUAGAAACAAUGAAGAAAAUCGUAAAGUUUCUAGCCCAGGUUUUGAGAUUCAGUAUCCUAUCCUAAUGUAGUACUUUGUCAAUGUAACAUUGGCAGUAGGCAGUGAGGCCUCUUAAAUACAGUAUACUGCCUACCUACAUUUUAAAAAUAUUAAGUCUGGUGGGAGAUUGGGGACUGUCCAAGAAGCCUUCUCCAUCCUUUGUGAAUGGGAUCCAGCUUUGGCAGCACAUUGCAGUCUUUGCCUUCAGGUGCAUAUGGGGAUUGCUCCUUACCUGCACUGAUGGGCGCUCUUAUCACUCCCCCCUAUCAGUUCAGUGCCACCAGAGGAAUAGAAUCCAUCAGAGUAAGAGGAUAGGGGGGUGGGGCAACCUUUGCCAUUUCUCUGCACACCAGGGAGCAAGGCUGUGUGCAGUUUGUUCAUUCCAGCCAAUUGGUAACUUCCACACAGAGAAUCCCAGCUGGGUUCUAUAAUUAUUCAUAUUUGUACCUUAUUAUGAAGAUCGUAUUUUCCCCUCUGUUAGUCCCUAUCUCCAGGGAUUGAAAGCAGAGUCUGAAGCCCUUGGACUAAGUAAGUGCAGUGCAGAUCAGUGCUGGAGAGCUGCCAAGAAUUCCCAGCAGAGGCUAAGCGUGUAACAUGCUUUGCAUACACUCACAAAACAGCUACUGCCCAGUACUAGAUAUUUUGUGUGCUCUACAGAGCACUGUCUCCAGCUGUGAUUUAAAAGUGUAUCAUGCACUUUGGGUGCAACCACAUUCUAAACAAGAUACACAUGUUAAUGGUACCAGUUGGUUGCCACACCUGGGAGCAGCUGAAUCGGUGCCUUCUGCAAUGCUGUCUCUUCUCAGAAGGCUGCAGGUGUGUGCAUUAGUGGGCUGUGAGACAAGACUGAAAGCAAUCUACUGAUAGACAGACUACCUGGUAACCCACACUGAGGCUUCAUGGGUUUGGGAUUUUCUCUUGGGUUCUUAAAGUAUAUUAGCACUGCCUGCCCUUCUCAAGGUACUAGUUACAGUAGUUUAAAAUUGGUUUCCUGACAACCUGCUGUGCAUCACAACAUCUUAAACAAAUGCAAGGAAUUAGAUUUACAGACUUUAAGUCCAGAAGGGACCAUUAUGAUGAUCUAGUCUGACCUCAUGCACACUGCAGGCUAUAGAACCUCACUCACCCAUUCCUGUGAUUGAUCCUUAACCUUGGACUAAAUUAUUGAAGUCCUCAAAUCAUGAUUUAAAUAUUUCAAGUUAUAGCAAAUCCACCAUGUACAUUAGUUUAAACCUUCAAGUGACCUGUGACUGAAGCAUCAGAAAAAGACUAAAAAACAAUUUGCCAAUCCGACUUUGGGGAAAAAUGCCUUCCUGACCCCAAAUAUGGCAACCAGUUAGAUCCUGAGCAUGUGAGAAAGAUCCACCACCCAAAAUUAAAUAUUUUAAUCUCAUAGGCAUGUUAUUUGUAAAGCUUACUGUACAAGAGAACACUCUAGACUUCAAUCAAAUCUGCUAUUUUAGGAAACCACCCCUAAAACAUAACUGAAUACAAUUCUAUGAACUCUUUAUUAAGCAACCUAUUUGCAUUAGUCUCGUCAAUGGUUAAAACAGAUUUACCAUCAACAUGAAGGAAGACCAGCCUGGUGAUAAUUAAAAUGAUAAUACUGUGAAUCAAGGGCUGCAGAUUCUGGUAGAACUGUGUGAGGAAAAGUGUUUUGACACCAUUUUAAUAACUUUUUUCUUUGUUAUUUAUUGAAAAAUGGUUUUGACAUCUUUUCAGCCCAGCUCUAGAUUUUAUUCUUGGCUCUACCACAGUCUUCCUCCAAGCUCAUAUCCCUUCUUUAAUUAAGCCUCAGACUCCCCAUCUGCAGCAUGAGAGCAAUCAUUACGCAGGCCACUGAUGUAGUGUGAAACUUUAAUGAAUUAAGGUUUCCAAAACACUGUAAGAUCCUCUGAUUAUUAUUGUGUGUGUUAGGCUCGCACCAGAGACCCCAGUCAGGAGCCAGGCUCUGGUCUGCUUGGUAUUGUACAAGACCAAGUGUUUACAGUUCAAUUUACAAUUCACCAAAGUGUUUACAGCUCAGUUACACACAAGAUAUAAUAAGUGGAUAUAACAGAUAUAGAAUGAAAUUGGAGAGGGUGAAGAAGAGAAAUAAUGAUAUGCACAUACAGGGCUGGAUUAAGACCUUUAGAGUCCCUAAGCACUGAAAAGGUUAUGGUGUCCGUCCCCCCCCAUAUGUAAUUCAAAAUAAAAACAAUACUAUAC